UCGGAUUGGGUAGAGCCUUAGGUAUGGAACCGCAAGAGGAAUAUCCUAGAAUCGUCUUUUCCUUCUGCUGUUUCAGUUUUUGAGCCCCAAAGUGACAAAAUACUAGGGAAUCGGUCUGGAUUAAAUCCUGGGGGUGAGAUCUGUUAAGUGUGCCACUGCCCUGUUUUAGUCUGCCCUGCAUAAAAUGUAGAGGGCCGUUUGUCAUCGAGAGUACUCUUUGGGUAAAAAGUAAGACUUUAACUUUUGAAAGACAUUCAAAAAGAUCAAUAUGUUUAGGUUUUCUAGCAUCCUUAAACGACCCUACUUAAAGUGGAGGUCCUUCAGGACUACGUGGAAAUAAUUUGAAUUUUGAGAACCUGUUGCAGGCAAUAUUCCGCAAGUAAAAUGAUAAAAGUCAAUGUAUAGCCGAAGAGUGACGGUGUAUACCAUAGGUAAUAUCACUGGAGCAGUUAACGGAAUGCAGCUGCCUCAGCUACUCGCCAUAGGAACCACCUGGAGUCUUGUUUAAAAUGCUGAUUUUAUUUAGUAGGCCCGAGAUUAUACUUACAACAAGCAGCCAAGUGAUAGAGAUUACUUCAUCAGAACCAUUUUCUGAGUUAGUAAACCCUCAGUACUUACCUCGUGCCCUACGGGACACCUCUGACUUUCUCCUCCCUGAACAGCCCAUUGUUCUCUCCUGGCUAACCAGUAGACACAAAGCAAAGAGCUAAGCAUGGGGGUGGGAGGAGAACCCCAGAUCUGAGUUCUUGCUUACGGCUUUCUAUUUAUGAUAGUGGUCUGGUUCCACAUAUUAUAGUUUUGUUUCUUCACCACCAAGUUAGAUGUAAUAAUGCCCGCCCUUUGUCACUGAGUUGCUGUGUUUUAAAUGUCAUAAUGUGAAAGGACACUGUAGGCUGUUACUGGUUAUAUCAAUGCUGUUUUAAGAUAGCGUACAAAUAAUGGGUUUCCCUGUGACAGUGUCAUGUAUAUGUCACACUUUGUUCUUGUUACCCCCUACACACACUGCUGCUCCUCCUUGCUAUCAGUCACAACUCAGCUAUUUAACUGGCCAGAGAGAAAUAUGAAACAUUUUGAAAUAUAUGUAUAUAUAAUAAAAUAGAUUAUAUCUAUGAAAAUUAUGUGCUGGGCAUGACACUUGUUUUCUUUUACAAAUGAAGAAACUGGGCACAGAUUGCUAUUACACCAAGGGGACAGAGCUAUUAAGUGGGAGAAGUGGAAUUUGAAUAAGCCAGGGUGCACAGAUUAGUAAGGAACCUAACUGGAACCUACCAACUAGAAACUCAACAUACAGGGAGGACAAUGAAGUAACCUUCAAAGAAACCAGUUCCUGUUGCCCUAAUCUAACAAGUUUCAACAAAGAAGUACACUGAAACUUUACUGCUAUGCAAUAAAGCACAGCAAACUGG
ensembl:antisense 4930539J05Rik RIKEN cDNA 4930539J05 gene